rnacentral:tRNA from 1 species
CCUUCGAUAGCUCAGCUGGUAGAGCGGAGGACUGUAGGUGCUCGUCUGCGGCUCUUAGGUCGCUGGUUCGAUUCCGGCUCGAAGGA